rnacentral:lncRNA from 1 species
CAUGGGGAUUAAAUGACUCGUUUUUUAAAAACUUGGUACAGUAAGGAGUACAGAGUAAGGACUUAGUAACUUUAAUUAUUCCCUACACAUCAAAUGCUGCUACUUACCAAAUCUACUUUAUUUUCGUUCAUUCAGCAACCGACUACCGAGUGCCUACUGUGUGCCAUGUGCCCUGCCAGAUGCUGGGACUAGAGCAUCCGCCCUCCCAUCUCAGGGAUCCUUACAGCAGAACGGGAAGCACAGAUGAUAAAGGAAUGCUUGCUGGCGGCGGCUGCCGGGGAGCCCAGCACAGGAUCUGCUCCUCGGAGCAGUGUUGUUUCUCCUCCUUGGGGCACCUCCUCCAGGAAGCCUUCCAGACCACACAAGUGUAUGGUAAUUCCUGCCUCUCCCCCAGCGCACACCAAAAAUAAAGCCGGGCUUUGUGCCUUGAAUCACCAUUUACAGAGCAAUGUAUACUUCACAAAGUAUUUUUCUGUCCGUGUCUCACUGAACCUCACAGGAACCCUAAUGGGGUCAGAUGAGUUUUGUCCCCGUUUUGCAGAUGGGGACCUGGGAGGCAAGGGGAGGGUGUAUGCUCACACGAGGGUGCAGUUGCACCCGUGCCAACCCUUCCCGAAAACUGCCUGGGUGCCAAGGGCUGCCCCGUGUUUCCACACAGUUGUUUACUCAAUAACCAUUGACUGAGCACCUACUCUGUGCCAGCCGCCGACACAGAUGCUGUGCCAGCAGCACCGAGAAAACAGACCAACACAGUCCCUCCUCCUGCAAGCCGCGUCCUAGGGAGAAGAGACCGUGCUCGGCAAGUCAGGUGGUGAGUGAGGUGGUGACACUCUGUGCAGACCAAGAAGUGGGGGGAAGCCCGAGGGGGGCAUCAGGCAAGAUCGCAGGUGAGGGGACUUGGAGACACCUGAAGGAGGGAAGGGACAGCCCCAAGGAUGUCCACCCCGAAGCCAGACUGUCUCCCAUGGGGGGCCGGGCCGUGCCCCUCUGCCCCCACCCUGAACACUCCCCGAGGAGGCCCCCCGCUGCAGCUCUCCCCGGCCCUGCCUGCUGGGCCCUCGCCCUCGCCCCGGCCACCAAUCCUGCACCCC